GGAUAGUCACUGGAUGAGUCACGAAGCCCGAGGCCCCAAAUGGUUGUGCAGAUGGAGAAAAAUGAGGUCCCGUGCAGGAGGCGCCCGUCUCCUCGGACUGUGGCUCUGACCCCUGCGUGUGCUGCAUCUGCCAGAACGCACGCAUUCCAAGAGGCAGACCGGGCUCCCGGGUGGGGGUGGCGCAGAGACUUGGCGUGCCCGUGGGUACUGCCUGGACCUUGGCCACCUCCCAAAGCAGAAAUGAUCAGAGACCUGGAACGAAACUCAACAUGGAAGAAAUGACAACCACGGCUGUGAAGCGAAUGCCAGGGUCAGCCUAACCCUAUUUCUAAAUAUCGCGGAAGCACGGCCGAGCAUGGAAGCCCACGCCUCAGGUGACAGCAUUUCGUACUGGCGACAGGAUUAUUCUGCUCCAUGGAUCCAUCCUCUCUCUGAGGGAUAAUAGCUAAGGCCUUUGAACAAGAUCCGCUCUUUCUGAUCCCGUAGAAAGUAAAUUUUGCCAGCCAGCAAAUCUAGAAUAUGUAUUCUUAUGGCAAAAGCCAUCCCCUCAGAGAUCUGCUGAGAAGGCAGGAGAUCAGGAAGACAGGCAAAGAAGACAAGUUCACCUGAAAGAAGGUUGAGAUAAAGGUGAAUCUGGAGCCUUGAACUCUACCUUCCGUAGACUCAACAUUCCGAUACUUGGCAAGAUUAUAAAGCUACAGCCAAAGGGUGAUGCUUCUCGUGCACAGAGGUGCUCUGUGGUUCCACAGGUCGGUUUUCCACAUCCUUUCCCGAGAAGGGUCAUGUCCAGCGCUGGGAGGAGAGAAGUCAACAGGGCAGAACCCUUGUCGUGAAGAGCAUGCAGUGUGAGCAAAGGAACAGCCGACCACAGGGAAGACCCACACGUUUUACUAACAAAGUCACGGAACACGUGCUCCAGGAGCAGAGGACAGGGAGACAGGAGGGCUUCCUUUCCAGAGAAGGUGACUUCUGAGCUGCCUUUGAAGGGAAUUCCAUGGAAGACAUGAUGAGUUCCUCUCACUGCCUCCUAGAAGAGACGUGCGGUCAUUUAGUCCCAGUAAAAGGUGGUGCCUGUGAGUUUUCUCCACUGUAAUGUCAUUAUUUUACCCUCUGUGAUCAAUGGGUCACUUGUGAGGAGGUACUUUGAGACUCUGCAAGUAUCCUAUGAUGAAUCAUUCAUCGAUGAUUCUUGACUGACUCAAAUAUUACCACGGCUGCCAAACAGUGGCAUUCUACGUCAUUCCCCCUACAAUCACAAGCUGACUUUCAACAGUAGGGAGGAGUUUGCUUGUCUGCCUUAUUUAUUUAUACUGGCAUGGACUCAUGAAUCCUCACUCCAUUCAGUUUGUUAUAAUUCUUCACUACCAUCUUUUAUUUAGACACUCAAAUUGUCCCAGAAGUGUGCCAGGUACUUUAUGGAAAAUAUUUCCUGUAAUUCUCAAAGCACCUCUUUGAGGGGUAGGGAUUAUUUUGCAGACAAAGAAACUGAAACUCAGAGAGAUGAACGUUCGCCACAUCUAAUUGCUGGAGUUUCCAAACUUCUUAUGCCAAAUGCUUGAUAUUUAUGUACAUCCACCUUGUAUAUAAAUCCCCCCCUCCUGAUGUUUCUGCCGUAUAGGAAUUACCCUCUUGCCUCCUAUUUUUAAGAUGGGAAAAUGAGCUCAGAGAGGUUAAGCAAUGGGUCACAAAAACUAUCAUGAGAAUUCAGAGGCCUAUUUGACAUCACGUGUUGUUUUUCAGCAGCUCACGUUGCUCCUUUAAGAUGUUUUUCCUUUUGCAGAUGGGAUCCUUUUUGCCAUUUAUUUAAUUCUAUUCAGGGAAGAGGAGGCGAAACUGUGGUGCUUUUUUUUAAAAAACAGAUAGCCUGUGUUAGCUUUGGCUACCCUGAUUCUAAUCAGCACCAAGGCUAGGAAGUUGGGGUGACUUUGACCUUGCUGGAACCCUUGGUGUUCUUGGAAGUUCAUGUAGUUGACUGAAUAAAAAAUGUAAUCUCUCGCGGUGAA